rnacentral:rRNA from 1 species
UACGAAGGGUGCAAGCGUUACUCGGAAUUACUGGGCGUAAAGCGUGCGUAGGUGGUUUGUUAAGUCUGUUGUGAAAGCCCCGGGCUCAACCUGGGAAUGGCAAUGGAUACUGGCAAGCUAGAGUGCGGUAGAGGGUAGUGGAAUUCCCGGUGUAGCGGUGAAAUGCGUAGAUAUCCGGAGGAAUACCAAAGGCGAAGGCAGUGUCCUGGGGAGUGUCUGACGCUCAGGCGCGAAAGCUAGGGGAGCGAACAGG